rnacentral:rRNA from 1 species
UUUUAUUAUGAGUUAUAUAUAGUUUGGAGUAUUUUAUUGUUGGUUACUGGGUUUUAUUAUUAUGAUUAUAUAUAAACUAAAAUACUUUGUGGAAUAAGCUGAUUUUUUUAGACAAGAAUUAGAUACUCUUUUAUAUAUAAGUUUAUUUGAGGUUUCUCAGUUAUAACUGAAAGAAAUUGGCAGCUGACUAUGUCCUUCUAGGGGAGUGUGUUUUUUAAUAGAUGUUCCACUUAUUAUUUUACUAUAAUUUUUAUGUUAGUGUAUAUCCGGUUUUAUUAUAUAAAAUGAAUGUUUUGUGUAUAAAUUAUUUUUUUUAAUCCAGGUCAAUAUGCUGCUUAUAUUUUAGUUAAAAUUCGCUACAUUAUAAAGUUAUUUAAUGAAUAUUUUAUAAUUUUGGGACUUAGUAGUAUUAUAAAAUUUUAAUUGGUUUGUGAGAAUUAGGUUUAGUUGGGGUACACAUCGCCCGUCAUCUUC